GUGCAUUUCCCAAGCACAUAUGCUGAAAUUGUGAUGAUGCAGAGAAAACAAUCAUGGCCCUGGCACAAGAAUGAUAGGCAAGCUUGUGAAAAUACCCAUAUAUAU